rnacentral:rRNA from 1 species
UAGUGAGUUUGAUCCUGGCUCAGAACGAACGCUGGCGGCAGGCUUAACACAUGCAAGUCGAGCGAGACCUUCGGGUCUAGCGGCGGACGGGUGAGUAACGCGUGGGAACGUGCCCUUCUCUACGGAAUAGCCCCGGGAAACUGGGAGUAAUACCGUAUACGCCCUUUGGGGGAAAGAUUUAUCGGAGAAGGAUCGGCCCGCGUUGGAUUAGGUAGUUGGUGGGGUAAUGGCCCACCAAGCCGACGAUCCAUAGCUGGUUUGAGAGGAUGAUCAGCCACACUGGGACUGAGACACGGCCCAGACUCCGUACGGGAGGCAGCAGU